rnacentral:precursor_RNA from 8 species
UAUGGCUGUUUAUCCUUGCCUGUUCUGGGUUGAGGUAGUUGUUUGUACAGUUUUUAGGGUCUGUUAUUCUGCCCUGUUAAGGAGCUAACUGUACAGACUACUGCCUUGCCCAGGGUUGAGCCCACUCAUCUGACAUGGU